rnacentral:misc_RNA from 1 species
UCUCCGUUGGUGAACCAGCGGAGGGAUCAUUACAGAGUUGCAAAACUCCCAAACCAUUGUGAACGUUACCUAUCCCGUUGCUUCGGCGGGCGGCCCGGGCCCCGCGCCCGGCGCCCCCCGGCCCCCCGUGGGCGCCCGCCGGAGGUAAACCAAACCCUUGAAUUGCAUGGCCUCUCUGAGUCUUCUGUACUGAACAAGUCGAAACUUUCAACAACGGAUCUCUUGGUUCUG